rnacentral:rRNA from 1 species
UACGUAGGCAGCAAGCGUUGUUCGGAGUUACUGGGCGUAAAGAGUGCGUAGGUGGUGCCCUAAGUCUGUUGUGAAAUCUCCCGGCUUAACUGGGAGGGUGCGGUGGAAACUGGGGUGCUUGAGUGUGGGAGAGGUAAGCGGAAUUCCUGGUGUAGCGGUGAAAUGCGCAGAUAUCAGGAGGAACACCCGUGGCGAAAGCGGCUCUCUGGGACGGUACUGACGCUGAGACGCGAAAGCGUGGGGAGCAAACAGG